ensembl:snRNA U4 U4 spliceosomal RNA
AGCUUUGCGCAGUGGUGCUAUUGUAGCCAAAGAGGUUUAUCUGAGGCGCGAUUAUUGCUAAUUGAAAACUUUUUCCAAUACUCUGCCAUGAAGACUUGCAAUAUAGUUGGUAUUGGCAGUUUUUGACAGUCUCUACGGAGA